GUGCCAGCAGCCGCGGUAAUACCGGCAGCCCGAGUGAUGGCCGAUCUUAUUGGGCCUAAAGCGUCCGUAGCUGGCUGCGCAAGUCCGUCGGGAAAUCCAUCAGCCCAACUGAUGGGCGUCCGGCGGAAACUGCACGGCUUGGGACCGGAAGAUCCAAGGGGUACGUCCGGGGUAGGAGUGAAAUCCCGUAAUCCUGGACGGACCACCGAUGGCGAAAGCACCUUGGAAGGACGGAUCCGACAGUGAGGGACGAAAGCUAGGGUCUCGAACCGGAUUAGAAACCCUGGUAGUCC
rnacentral:rRNA from 1 species